rnacentral:rRNA from 1 species
AGUGAACGCUGGCGGCGUGCCUAAUACAUGCAAGUCGAACGAUGAAGUCCUAGCUUGCUAGGAUGGAUUAGUGGCGCACGGGUGAGUAAUAUAUAGUUAAUCUGCCCUACACAGAGGAACAACAGUUGGAAACGGCUGCUAAUACCUCAUACUCCUAUUUAACAUAAGUUAAAUAGGGAAAGUCUUUUCGGUGUAGGAUGAGACUAUAUCGUAUCAGCUAGUUGGUAAGGUAAUGGCUUACCAAGGCUAUGACGCGUAACUGGUCUGAGAGGAUGAUCAGUCACAUUGGAACUGAGACACGGUCCAAACUCCUACGGGAGGCAGCAGUAAGGAAUAUUGCGCAAUGGGGGAAACCCUGACGCAGCAACGCCGCGUGGAGGAUGACACUUUUCGGAGCGUAAACUCCUUUUAUCAGGAAAGAAUAAUGACGGUACCUGAUGAAUAAGCACCGGCUAACUCCGUGCCAGCAGCCGCGGUAAUACGGGGGGUGCAAGCGUUACUCGGAAUCACUGGGCGUAAAGGACGCGUAGGCGGAUUAUCAAGUCUUUUGUGAAAUCUAGUGGCUUAACCACUAAACUGCUUAGGAAACUGAUAGUCUAGAGUAGGGGAGAGGUAGAUGGAAUUCUUGGUGUAGGGGUAAAAUCCGUAGAGAUCAAGAAGAAUACCCAUUGCGAAAGCGAUCUGCUGGAACCUAACUGACGCUGAGGCGUGAAAGCGUGGGUAGCAAGCAGG